CAGGUACGUGUGGGGGGUGUGUGUCCCUCCCCAGUGUUGGGGUCCCCUCCUGGACACCUGAGUCCCUUGGAGGGGCCAGGGGGUUCCCGGACGCCGGGGUCCCCAUGAAAGGGGGUGUCCUGCAGCCCCCCGGAUGCCUGGAUCCUCUUUAGCGUGGAGACCGGAGCCGGGGCCCCCCCUCGCCAGCGAUUCGGAGGACGACGAGCUGCCCUGGCGUCCUGCCCUCAGAGGUGCUGCCUCACCCCGAGUCGUGCCGGAGAGUGACCCGGAGGAGACAGAUGUGCACCCAGAUGUUCAGAGGCCCCGAAAACGCUGCCGCACCCUUACGUGGGGCCACCUCCCAGAUGUGGCCAAACCCUGCCCGGAUCCAAACGUCGGAGGACCCAAAAAGCGCCGUUUUGGCCCCCAAGCCGCCCCAGAUCCAGAUGUGGGGAGCAAAACAGCUGCUCCAAGCGUUCAGCCCCCAAAUCACCCUCUGAACCCCCGAAAGGUGGUGGGUCCAGAUGUUGAUCCAGAUGCAGAACGUCUAGAAGGCACCAACGUGCGUCUUGAUGUCAAAAGCGAUACAGCUGUGGAGGUACUCCCCAAAUCUGCCUUUUUUCACCCAAACAGCUGUGACCAGGCCACCCCGGAGGUCAGCAGUGACACAGAUGUGGAGGAAAAGGGCCCGAAUCCAGAUGUUGGAGGUGCCAAAAAUGGAUGUCGGACGCUUGUGGUGGACAGUGACACAGAUGUGGAAGAAGCCGAGUUUUGCCCCGACGUUGAGAGCACAAAAAUACGACAAACUGCCCAAAACGUGCCUAAAACCUCAGGUGUGGAGAUGGACCCCCAGAAUCCAGAUGUUGGGGGUCCCAAAAAUGGAUGUCAGACACUUUUGGUGGACAGUGAUACAGAUGUGGAGAUGGAGAGCUCAAACUCAGCUGUUGAAGGGGCCCAAAAUCAGAUGCUCACGGUGGACAGCGAUACAGAUGUGGAGGAGGAUAGAGCCUAUCCAGAUGUUGGAUGCUCCCAAGCCCAUCGAAUGACCCAAAAUGUACCAAAACCCCACAAUAUUGAGAUGGAGACUCCCAAUGCAGAUGUUGGAGGUUCACAAAAGGGACAUCGGGUGCUCGUGGUAGACAGUGACACAGAUGUGGAGGAGAAUGAAACUGAUCCAGAUGUUGGAUACACUAAAACCCACCAAAGAACCCCAAACAUACCAAAACCCCAAAUUAUUGCGAUGGAGACGCAAAAUGCAGAUGUUGAAGGUUCGCAAAAGGCUCAUCACAUGCUCGUGGUGGACAGUGAUACAGAUGUGGAGGAGGACGGUUCAAAUCCAGAUGUUGGGUGUCCAGAAAGCCACGGAACAGCCCCCGGAGACUCAGAUGUGAAGGUGGAAACCAUAAAUCGAGAUGUUGAAGGGCGACGGAUUCUCCUGGUGGAGAGCGAUACAGAUGUGGAAGAGGACACUUCCAAUCCAGAUGUUUGGGCUCUGAAAACCCAUCAAGCAACCCAAAAUGUACCAAGAAACCCACAUCUGGAGACGGAGAGCCCGAACCCGCGUGUUGUAAGACCACAAAACAACCGUUAUGCACUUGUGGUGGACAGUGAUACGGAUGUGGAGGAGAACGAGGUGGAUCCAGAUGUUGAGUGUCCAAAAACCCAUAGAAUUACCCACAAAAACCCAGAUGUUGAGCUUAAAACCUCAAAUCCAGAUGUUGAAGAAGCCCAGAAUGAACAUCAGAACCUGGAGGUGGACAGUGACACCGAUGUGGAAGAAGACAACCUGAGUCAAGGCGUUCUUCACCCAAAAAGUCACGAAACACCCCAAAACACCCAGAAAGACCCAACGGUGGUGGUGGAGACCCCAAAUCCAGAUGUUGGGGGCCUCAGCCACGGCUCAGUGGCCUCCAGCGGUGACAGCGAUACAGAUGUGGAGGACCUCAACCCCCUUCCCAAUGCUGGAGCUCCGGAACCACACGCAGCAGCCCGUGAGGUCCGGGAUCCAGUUGCUAAGAUGGCCGCUGUGCCAGAUGUUGACCCCAAGGGGCGGACGCGGACCAAUGAUGAUCCAGAUGUGAAUGCCUCAUUCCCAAAUCCAGAUGUUGACGCCCUCAAAGCCCAGUGCCCGGCCCCAAAUGUGGACAGCGAUACAAUCGUUGGGGACAACGGUGUCGUUCCAGAUGUUGGGGCGGUGCAGGGACAUCGGGGCACAUCUGGUGACCCAGAUGUGACGGCGACGCCCCCGAAUCCAGAUGUUCCCGCUCCAGCGAGCCCCCGGGAUAGCAGCGACACCGACGUGGAGGAGGUGGCCCCUACUCCAGCUGUUCGAGGCCUCCGGAGCCGAAUCCGGUUCCAAAAUCACCCCCAUCCAGAUGUUGCGUGUCCCACCCCCGGCAGCGAUACCGAUGUGGAGGAGGCGGACCCAAAACGCUGCAAAUUGUCCCCAAAAAGGCAGGAUUUUCCCCCCGAGCCAGAGCGCGACGCAGAUGCGGAAAAGAUGUUCCCAACCCAUCGCGUCGUAGCCCCAGAUCCAGAUGUUGGGCCCCAGCGCCACAGCGGGGCGACCCCGGCCGGGGGCAGGGAUCCAGCUGUGCCGCCAGAUGUUUCCACCCCUAAAUCGCCCUGUUUGGACCCAAAUUGGAGCGUCGGCGCUGAUGGAGGAUCUGGGAGCGCCAGGGCCACCCCCCACAACGGGGCCACGGGUGCAGCGGUGACAGAGUGUGACACUGAGGGUAAGCGGGGCCCCCCCAGACUCCUGGGGUUGCCCCCCCGUGGAUGCCUGGGGUCCCCCCAAAUACCUGGGGCCCCCCCAAAUCCUGGGGCCCUUCUCAAGACUCUUCCUUCCCUCCCCCCCCCGCCCCUUUCCAG
rnacentral:lncRNA from 1 species